rnacentral:rRNA from 1 species
AGGGAAUAUUGCACAAUGGAGGAAACUCUGAUGCAGCGACGCCGCGUGAGUGAUGAAGGACUUCGGUUCGUAAAGCUCUGUCGUACAGGAAUAAAUUUUGAAUGUACUGUACAAGAAAGGAUCGGCUAACUUCGUGCCAGCAGCCGCGGUAAGACGAGGGAUCCUAGCGUUGUUCGGAAUCAUUGGGCGUAAAGCGGAUGCAGGUGGUUUUUUAAGUCAGGUGUGAAAGUCCAAGGCUUAACCUUGGAAGUGCAUUUGAUACUGAAAAACUUGAGUGCCAGAGAGGCUGCUAGAAUUCCUGGUGUAGUGGUGAAAUACGUAGAUAUCAGGAGGAAUACCAGAGGCGAAGGCGGGUAGCUGGCUGGACACUGACACUCAUAUCCGAAAGCGUGGGUAGCAAAC